UAGUAGCUCUAACUUAGAGUCUAAUGGGAC
rnacentral:piRNA from 1 species